AACCAAAGUGACAAACACUUUGAAAACACAGAAAUGAGGCCGAUUGAGGUGAACUCAAUGGCAGGACUUCUAAAUUACAUUAUCUGUAGUGAAAAAGUAUUAACGAGACUUAACAGGUUGUCACUCAUUCUUCAGUCUAAUUUCAAGAGCAUGACUGGCUCAACUAGGGUGAGGUGAAAGGUACCAAACCAAGUAGCUAUGGCCAGUCACAUAGGAAACAGAAGGGUGUGGAAAGGUCUCAGAGAAAAGCUGCUUCCUGGACAGACCAAUCAGCCUGAGACUGCUGCCUUCCACCCCAGUACAUAGAUACAGUACAUACAUGUUUUGACCCGUCCCCGUAUGUAAAAUAUUUAAAACCAUCUCUUGAGUAAGUACUAAAGCACAUAUCAUGAACAAUGAAAACAACCCAAAGUCCAAGCCAAUCCCAAAGUCAAUUCCUGUUUGUAUGUAUAAAUAGCUGGUGUCAUGGGGCCAUUCCUUGAGACAAAGUCCUCCAGAUGAAGUGCAUGGCUUCUGUAGAACUGUUGGAUUUGAUGAAAUUCAAAAACCUAUGGACUAAACGUUAACCUUAAACACUGCCAAUGUAAAAUACUACAUGUAAAUUGAAGAAUCAAGGCAAAAAAUAAUAUGGAAGCAGUAAUGGCAUUACCCAUUUCCCAUGGAGAACCAUUCUCCUUUCCUUGUGUUCUAAAAUCUAAAAACAUUUGGUGAGGAGAAUUCAUCUGUAAUCAUAAAAAGUUCUAUGCUUACCUCUAACCCCAGGUUCCCAGAUCCACCAUUUCUGGACUUUGGAGAAGCACAGGUGCUUGUUUUCUGGCUUAAAUUAUAUUCCACAUCCUGUAGAUCAGCAUGUUGACUGCAGAACUAGUAGUCCAAGCUGACACUGGAGUGGAGUCUACAACAGGCCUUUCUAGCAUUCUGUAAGGCAUCAUGUCUGACUGAUGGGGAGACCGGGAAAAUCCAUGAAUCCCACUAGGAUUCACUGAAUACAGCCCACUGCUAUUCUUUUCUCAAAUUAAGCAGCACUACACUAGGUUUGCAUGUGAAUACGAAGGUACAAAGAAAGCUCAGAAGACCAACACAAAUCUAAACUGUUGGGUGGCCACCCUGGCAGCUGUCAGCAAUCCAUAUACUGCAUGACUGGAGUCAGCACAAUGGGCUGAGAGGACAAACUCCAAUCCAGAGGGAUCUGGAGGAACUGAUUCAAACUGUAUGGGAGUGCAUACAUUUUGCACAUUCUUUCAUACCUUUUGGAGAGGCCCAUGCACUAAAUAUCCAGAAGAGAGGAACUGGGUCCUCAUCUACAGCCAAAAAUUCUAUCAGGCGGUAGAUAUAACAAGUCAUACAAAGUAAAUGUCUGUCUACUACAGGAAACCAAACCUCUGCUCAUUUAGGACUCAAGGACAGGAGGAUAUGAGAUAAAUUGUACAGCCCCACUUGUCAACAGACCAUUGACAUCAACAUGUCAAUUUAAGCCAUCUGUAAACAAGGCUAAUGGUUUGAUUCCUCACUCCAACUGGUUAUAAAGAACCCUUCAUAAAAACACUGGUAUGGGUAAAAGCAUGCACAGGCUAGAAAAUGGGCAAGUGCUCAUACUUAUUAUUUGUCCUUGAGGUCCUGUUUGCACAAGUCCCACAUGAGGAACUUCUCUGCACAUGCCUGGCUUGAGCAAGGACACAGGAGUCAUCAUUGUGAAGGGCAAAUUGGGGGAACUGGUAUCACAUGGCAGCAUGUUGAAAGGGCAAAUACAAAGGAAAAUAAGAAAUAAAAGUUUAAAUCUCCCUGGUGAAAAAAGAAUAGACCUAACAAUUCCCUUUUUUAAGAAGAUUUACUUUGGAAAACUUGUAAAUUCUUCCUCUGCUUCUUUGCAAAGCAUGCAAAUCUUUUUGAAAGCUAAGUAAGCCUCUUGCCAAUUUUACAAUCAUGAAUAAAAGGGGACAGGCAGCCAAAAUAAUUGGCAGGCAUGAGAACAAGGUAAAGAGGAAACUUAAGCAGUUGAAACUAGAACCUCAGCUCAGCCCUCCUGAGAAACAUAGAAGGAAAUGCACAUCACAGGCAGUGUCCAGAAUGCCAAUAAAGCUACAAGAGAACACCCUGGAUUAUUAACAAGAUGAGGGUAUACAGCCUAUCAGUGAGGAUACAACAGCAUCAGCAAAAGUAACAGCAGUAACUUUGCAGAAGUCCUCCACAUUAUAGCACUAUGUAACAAUAUAAGAGGGAGAAGCGCCACCUACCUCUGUGGCCAUUUUUCACAGGCUUAAAGCAAUACACAGAAGAAGGCUGAGGCAGCAACGCCUUCACCAACAGACAAGGCCACCACUCACUGGGAAAACGGAAAAUAACAACCUGUCCCCAUCAUCCAUGUGUGACGUUUGCCAGUGGGCACUAUAUGCACAUAUCACAGCCUUUGAUGUGCAUUGUUGUCCUGUGUCCUCCAGGUAUGCUGCUCCAAAGGUACUGUGAGAAAGGGGAAAAAGGACAGAAGGCACUUCCCUGAAUCCUAAUGCCCAUUGCAACGUUCACAUCAAAGACCCUUGUCCUCUGAACUGUCUGUAUUUUCCUCAUGUGCAGGAGAUUCUUGACAUUCCUGCUUGAACUGUUAGGUAGACUGAAGUAGGGAAACCCGCUCCUCUUCUCAAAUUGUGGAAAAGGAUUGUCCUCUAAACUGUCUGUAUUUUCCUCAUAUGCAGGAGAUUCUUGACAUGUCUGCUUGACCUGUUAGGUAGCCUGAAGCAGGGAAACCCUCUGCCCUCCCCUGCUCAAAUUGUGGAAAAGGAUUGACAGCAAAAAUGUUUGGCCUGCAUGAGAACUAAGUAAAGAGAAAAUAACUUAAGCAGUUGAAACCAGCAUCUCAGCUCAGCCCUCCUGAGAAUGAUAGCGGGAAAUGCGUAUCACAGGCAGUGCUCAAGACUUGAAAUAAAGCUAUUGGAGAACACCCUGGAUUAUGACCAAGAUGAGGGCAUACAGUGCAUCCCAUUCGUGUGGAUACAACAGCAUCAGCAAAAGCAACAGUAGUAACUUUGCAGAAGUUCUCCACAUUAUAGUACUAUGUAACAGUAUAAUUGAGUGAAGGGUCACCUACCUCUGUGGCCAUUUUUUACAGGCCUAAAGUAAUACACAGAAGAAGGCUGAGGCAGCAAUGCCUUCACCAACAGACAAGUCCACCACACACUGGGAAAAUGGAAAAUAACCUGUCCCCAUCAUUCAUGCCUGACGUUUGCCAGUGGGCCAUGUAUGCUCGUAUGACAUCUGUGGAUGUGCAAUGUUGUCCUGUGUCCUCCAGUCAUGGUACUCCAAAUGUACUGUGAGGGAAGGGAAAAAGGGAAUUGGGGGCACUUCCCUGAACCCUAGUGCCCACUGCAACUUUCAUAUCAAAGUCCCUAGUCCUUGAACUGUCUGUGUUUUCCUCAUAUGCAGCAGAUUCUUGACAUUCCUGCUUGACCUGUUAGGUAGCCUGAAGUAGAGAAACUUCUGUGCCCUCUUCUUUUCUAAUUGUGGAAAAGGAUUGGCGGCAAAAAUGUAUGACCUGCAUGAGCACUAGGUAAAGAGAAAAUAACUUAAGCAGUUGAAACGAGCAUCUCAGCUCAGCCCUCUUGAGUAAGAUAACGGGAAAUGCGUAUCACAGGUAGUGCUCACGACUUGCAAUAAACCUAUGGGAGAACACUCUGGAUUAUGACCAAGAUGAGUGCCUACAGUGUAUGGCAUCAGUGAGGAUACAACAGCAUCAGCAAAAGUGACAGCAGUAACUUUGCAGAAGUCCAUCACAUUAUUGAACUACGUGACCAUAUAGAAGCCCAUCAUUCACUGAGGAUAUGGAAAAUAAUGACCUGUCCCUUUCAUCAAUGUCUCAACUUUGCAAUGGGCCAUAUAUGCUCAUAGGACAUUUAUCGAUGUGCAUUGUUUUCCUCUGUCAUAUUCUGGAGAUUCCUUGCAUUCCUGCUUGAAUUCUUAGGUAGCCUGAAAUACGGAAAGCAGUGUGCCCUCCCCUCCUCAAACUGUGGCUUCCCCUUAUCCUGUAACAGCUGCAGUAGCUGGAGUACUAUACAAGAUGUAUAAAUCCCUCACGGUUGUGUCUGUAACACUCUCUGCUUGAAAGCACAGGCAAGGUCAUUUUGAGACCAUGUAAUUUCCCCUCUGAGAGGACCAAAUGGCAGAUGGGUCAGAUCACCAAGUGGCAACAGCUUAUAAACAGGGAAACUGACACCUACAGCCUUGAGGUAGGUGCCAUUUUCAGCAUGAGGAAUAGGAGAGAUUAAGCUGCUAGCCUGGAUACCUGACAUGGGAGCUUCCUGAACACUCAGGCUCUUCUACAGAUACCUAUGAGGAUCAAAAUUUCACCAGCUUCAUGUACUGGUCAUUGACAGGAACCACAUGACUUUUCUGUCCCCACCAAUGUGCAGAGUAUGAUCAAUGGAAGAGUGCAAGAAGCUAAAACAGAGAAAUGCUUGAAUAAACUUCAACUGCGUUCCUAUUCACUGAAUCAGGGGUCCUCAUGAUGCCUGACAUGCCAUUCCUCUUCACAGUGGAAACCAUGCAGUUCAGCACAUUAGUGUCUGAGCACAGAAUCCUGACAGAAGGCCAUCACCAGUUUCUUCUCUAGACCCCAAAUUUCCCGUGCCCAGAAUGCUGCCAAUGCCAGUGUGUGUUUCCUGUAUUACCUUGCACAGGCAUUCGAACCAUUGGAGCAUGGAAGAAAAAAGUUACUGGGUCAUAUGUUAGAAGAACAUAUCAGCAACAGCAUGUCACUUUCCUAAUUCUCUGCUGGUGAACACAGCUCACUACAGAUAUGAAAGACUGUGUGCUCAACUCAACCAAGACUGACAGCUUCCCAGAAACACUCGCAGUUGCUUCUCAGAUAUCUCCCUCAGAUUGCUCUACUAAGCUACAGUAAAAGAGGUAUAGCUCACCUUUUCCUGAGCCAUUUUUCACAGGCUAAGGGUAUACACAGAAGCUAAGCCUUCACCAGUAGCCAAGUCUGGAAUUCUCAAGGAUAAUGGAAAGUAAGGUUCUAUCCCCAUCAUAAAAGUCCUGUCUUUGCCAAAAGGUAUACUUCUCACGUUACACUCAACAAUAUGCUUUGUUGUGGUGCCAGGCAUGGAGAAGGGAGUAGGAAACACUCCCUUGAAUGCAGAGUGCCCAGGGCAACUUUCCCACCAGAGUCCCUUGGCCUCAACCUCUAGGAAGCAGCUCCACACAAUGCCACUGCUUACAGCCCCUUUCCCACCUCUAGCCUGUAGGCCCCUGGUGAAGGGAAGAUGUGUCACUCCAUCUUUCCUGAUCAGAGAAGCCCUUCCCCUUUUCUGAGCCUCUAACCUCUAUAAUUCUUGUUAUUAAAACAACAGAUAAAAUGGCUGGGGAUCCAUGAAAUCCAUUUACUUCAAAACAUAUUGUCCCUUCUUUUCACAAGCAUUUUUACCAUCUGUUAUCUCUACAACUGCAAAAUCACCUUGUGUGUCCUCUGGACAAUUAUAUUGACUGGAAAGUGAAGAGGAGAUAGAGGUUGGGGUAACUAAUGCUUUUUUCUAGCAACAAAAACAUACUUUAAAAGGCUUCUUACAGCUUAUGAUAAAUCCCACAGAAUUCAAGGCCAGUUAAAACCUAGAUCUGAGUCCCUCUCCACCAGCACUCACAAUAUUUUGGCUGUGAUGCCAUGUCAAGGUAAGUAUAUGUUCUGUAGUCAUUAAUGUUCUUUGAAAAACAGAGAAAAUAGCAGUAUUUAAUACACAUUUUUAUAGGAUUAGAUAAGAAACUUCUCGGUUUUAGUAAGGAUUUUAUCAGUGGUAGCUUUGGCUGAUUUGUUUUAGCAUCAUUACCACCACUCUCAUCAUCACCAUCGCCAUUAUAUCUUCCUUUCUAGUAGAAUAAGAUGUCUCUCAAAAUGACCAUUGUUGUCCCAGUUACACUACUGGAUGCAUUUAACAGGGAACUAGUAUAACAAGGAAUACAAUCAGUUGCAUUUUUCUCACUGGCUAAUAUCUCCCACUUGUGGCUGGCCCUUAUGCUCCAAAAUAACAUGUUGGGCACUAAGAAGACUCAAGUUGGCAUUUAAGUUAGGAGAGACAAGCCUUCAAUUCCCAGGGAUAAAAAUGUCCCUUUCUCAUGACUACAAAAUAAAAAAAAAAUUGUAUCAAAGACUUUUUCAAAUUUCUGAGUGUGAGAGCAUAAAUUUACUUGAUAAAAAUUAAUGUCAAGAGUCCUAAUUUUUUAAAAAUGGGUAUUGUCAAGGAACAGCCUAACUGGAAAUGAU
rnacentral:lncRNA from 10 species